GAUUUCACACUGCCGAGAAAAGCCUCUAGAUAGAAAAUAGGUGCCCGUACCGCAAACCGACACAGGUAGUCAAGAUGAGAAUUCUAAGGUGAGCGAGCGAACUCUCGUUAAGGAACUCGGCAAAAUGACCCCGUAACUUCGGGAGAAGGGGUGCUCUUUAGGGUUAACGCCCAGAAGAGCCGCAGUGAAUAGGCCCAAGCGACUGUUUAUCAAAAACACAGGUCUCUGCUAAACCGUAAGGUGAUGUAUAGGGGCUGACGCCUGCCCGGUGCUGGAAGGUUAAGAGGAGUGGUUAGCUUCUGCGAAGCUACGAAUCGAAGCCCCAGUAAACGGCGGCCGUAACUAUAACGGUCCUAAGGUAGCGAAAUUCCUUGUCGGGUAAGUUCCGACCCGCACGAAAGGCGUAACGAUUUGGGCACUGUCUCAACGAGAGACUCGGUGAAAUCAUAGUACCUGUGAAGAUGCAGGUUACCCGCGACAGGACGGAAAGACCCCGUGGAGCUUUACUGUAGCCUGAUAUUGAAAUUCGGCACAGCUUGUACAGGAUAGGUAGGAGCCUUUGAAACGUGAGCGCUAGCUUACGUGGAGGCGCUGGUGGGAUACUACCCUAGCUGUGUUGGCUUUCUAACCCGCACCACUUAUCGUGGUGGGAGACAGUGUCAGGCGGGCAGUUUGACUGGGGCGGUCGCCUCCUAAAAGGUAACGGAGGCGCUCAAAGGUUCCCUCAGAAUGGUUGGAAAUCAUUCAUAGAGUGUAAAGGCAUAAGGGAGCUUGACUGCGAGACCUACAAGUCGAGCAGGGUCGAAAGACGGACUUAGUGAUCCGGUGGUUCCGCAUGGAAGGGCCAUCGCUCAACGGAUAAAAGCUACCCCGGGGAUAACAGGCUUAUCUCCCCCAAGAGUUCACAUCGACGGGGAGGUUUGGCACCUCGAUGUCGGCUCAUCGCAUCCUGGGGCUGUAGUCGGUCCCAAGGGUUGGGCUGUUCGCCCAUUAAAGCGGUACGCGAGCUGGGUUCAGAACGUCGUGAGACAGUUCGGUCCCUAUCCGUCGUGGGCGUAGGAAAUUUGAGAGGAGCUGUCCUUAGUACGAGAGGACCGGGAUGGACAUACCUCUGGUGUACCAGUUGUCGUGCCAACGGCAUAGCUGGGUAGCUAUGUGUGGACGGGAUAAGUGCUGAAAGCAUCUAAGCAUGAAGCCCCCCUCAAGAUGAGAUUUCCCAACUUCGGUUAUAAGAUCCCUCAAAGAUGAUGAGGUUAAUAGGUUCGAGGUGGAAGCAUGGUGACAUGUGGAGCUGACGAAUACUAAUCGAUCGAAGACUUAAUCAA
rnacentral:rRNA from 1 species